UUUUGCACCUCCUAGAACCCCAAAUCCUGAUGAACUGGAGAAGAGUAUGAAAGACCCCCGUGGGGAGACCCCCACUCAAGUCUGGGGAUGCUGUGCACCAGAGGAAACAUGAAAGAUC
rnacentral:pre_miRNA from 7 species